rnacentral:pre_miRNA from 1 species
AUUCAAAUUAACUCGGCAUCUUGUUAAAAUGCAGGUUCUGAUUCAGUGGGUCUGGGGUAGCGUUGGAGAGUCUGCAUUUCUAACAAGUUCCCAGCGAUUCUUUU